rnacentral:rRNA from 1 species
GACGAACGCUGGCGGCGUGCUUAACACAUGCAAGUCAAGGGGGCCCAGCAAUGGGCAACCGGCGAACGGGUGCGUAACACGUGAGCAACCUACCGAACUGUGGGGGAUAGCCGGCCUAACGGCCGAGUAAUACCGCAUACGCUCUCAGUGAGGCAUUUCAUUGAGAGGAAACCUACGGGACAGAUCGAGGGGCUCGCGGCCUAUCAGCUAGUUGGCGAGGUAACGGCUCACCAAGGCAACGACGGGUAGCUGGUCUGAGAGGAUGGCCAGCCACAUUGGGACUGAGAUACGGCCCAGACUCCUACGGGAGGCAGCAGUGGGGAAUCUUGCGCAAUGGCCUAACGGCUGACGCAGCGACGCCGCGUGUGGGAUGAAGCUCUUCGGAGUGUAAACCACUGUUGCCCGGGACGAACAGCUCGAUUUCUCGAGCCUGACGGUACCGGGUGAGGAAGCACCGGCUAACUCCGUGCCAGCCGCCGC